UACGUAGGGUGCGAGCGUUAAUCGGAAUUACUGGGCGUAAAGUGUGCGCAGGCGGCCGAGCAAGUCGAGUGUGAAAGCCCCGAGCUUAACUUGGGAACUGCGCUCGAAACUACUUGGCUAGAGUGUGGCAGAGGGAGGUGGAAUUCCACGUGUAGCGGUGAAAUGCGUAGAGACCGGGAAGAACACCAGUGGCGAAGGCGGCUACCUGGACAGGUACUGACGCUGCAGCGCGAAAGCUAGGGGAGCAAACAGG
rnacentral:rRNA from 1 species